rnacentral:misc_RNA from 1 species
UCCGAGUUGACCCCGGCAGUCUCCUAUGAGUCCCCGGCAUUAUCCGCUGGCAACAUGGGACGGGGGUUGCGCUCGUUGCAGGACUUAACCCAACACCUCACGGCACGAGCUGACGACAGCCAUGCACCACCUGUGAUGGUGUCCCGAAGGAAAACUGUGUUUCCACAGCUGUCACCAACAUGUCAAGCCCAGGUAAGGUUCUUCGCGUUGCGUCGAAUUAAACCACAUGCUCCACCGCUUGUGCGGGUCCCCGUCAAUUUCUUUGAGUUUUAGCCUUGCGGCCGUACUCCCCAGGCGGGGUACUUAAUGCGUUAGCUACGGCACGGAUCCCAAGGAAGGAAACCCACACCUAGUACCCACCGUUUACGGCGUGGACUAC